AUCCUUUUGUAGUUCGUGAGCAUGAUGAUUGGGCGUUCACAUGCUUGUAUGAGAUGUGCCACCUUGAAUCUUGUUAUGAUUCGGCAUAUUACCCAUCUGACC
ensembl:snoRNA